rnacentral:rRNA from 1 species
ACACUCCUGCGGGAGGCAGCAGUGGGGAAUAUUGGACAAUGGGCGCAAGCCUGAUCCAGCCAUGCCGCGUGAGUGAUGAAGGCCCUAGGGUUGUAAAGCUCUUUUGUGCGGGAAGAUAAUGACGGUACCGCAAGAAUAAGCCCCGGCUAACUUCGUGCCAGCAGCCGCGGUAAUACGAAGGGGGCUAGCGUUGCUCGGAAUCACUGGGCGUAAAGGGUGCGUAGGCGGGUCUUUAAGUCAGGGGUGAAAUCCUGGAGCUCAACUCCAGAACUGCCUUUGAUACUGAAGAUCUUGAAUUCGGGAGAGGUGAGUGGAACUGCUAGUGUAGAGGUGAAAUUCGUAGAUAUUCGCAAGAACACCAGUGGCGAAGGCGGCUCACUGGCCCGAUACUGACGCUGAGGCACGAAAGCGUGGGGAGCAAACAGGAUUAGAUACCCCUGUAGUCCCAU